AGUGAACGCUGGCGGUAGGCCUAACACAUGCAAGUCGAACGGCAGCACAGAGGAGCUUGCUCCUUGGGUGGCGAGUGGCGGACGGGUGAGGAAUACAUCGGAAUCUACUCUGUCGUGGGGGAUAACGCAGGGAAACUUACGCUAAUACCGCAUACGACCUACGGGUGAAAGCAGGGGAUCUUCGGACCUUGAGCGAUUGAAUGAGCCGAUGUCGGAUUAGCUAGUUGGCGGGGUAAAGGCCCACCAAGGCGACGAUCCGUAGCUGGUCUGAGAGGAUGAUCAGCCACACUGGAACUGAAACACGGUCCAGACUCCUACGGGAGGCAGCAGUGGGGAAUAUUGGACAAUGGGCGCAAGCUUGAUCCAGCCAUACCGCGUGGGUGAAGAAGGCCUUCGGGUUGUAAAGCCCUUUUGUUGGGAAAGAAAUCCAGCUGGCUAAUACCCGGUUGGGAUGACGGUACCCAAAGAAUAAGCACCGGCUAACUUCGUGCCAGCCGCCGCAGUAACAC
rnacentral:rRNA from 1 species